rnacentral:tRNA from 1 species
CGUGGCCUAAUGGAUAAGGCGUUUGAUUAGAAAUCAAACGAUUGUGGGUUCGAGUCCCACCG